rnacentral:rRNA from 1 species
ACGAGUGGGCGUCCGGCGGAAACUUCAGGGCUUGGGACAGGAAGGCUCGAGGGGUACGUCCGGGGUAGGAGUGAAAUCCCGUAAUCCUGGACGGACCACCGAUGGCGAAAGCACCUCGAGAGGACUGAUCCGACGGUGAGGGACGAAAGCUGGGGUCUCGAACCGGAUUAGAUACCCGGGUAGUCCCAGCUGUAAACGAUGUUCGCUAGGUGUGUCACUCGCUACGAGCGAGUGAUGUGCCGCAGGGAAGCCGCUAAGCGAACCGCCUGGGAAGUACGUCCGCAAGGAUGAAACUUAAAGGAAUUGGCGGGGGAGCACUACAACCGGAGGAGCCUGCGGUUUAAUUGGACUCAACGCCGGUAACCUUACCAGCCCCGACUGCAGUGAUGACGGUCAGGUUGAUGACCUUGCCACGACGCUGCAGAGAGGUGGUGCAUGGCCGCCGUCAGCUCGUACCGUGAGGCGUCCUGUUAAGUCAGGCAACGAGCGAGACCCGCACUCCUAAUUGCCAGCAUGUCCCACGUGGAUGAUGGGUACUUUAGGAGGACUGCCGCCGCCAAGGCGGAGGAAGGAACGGGCAACGGUAGGUCAGUAUGCCCCGAAUGGGCUGGGCAACACGCGGGCUACAAUGGCCGAGACAAUGGGUUCCCACCCCGAAAGGGAGCGGUAAUCUCAGAAACUCGGUCGUAGUUCGGAUUGCGGGUGCAACUCACCCGCAUGAAGCUGAU